rnacentral:rRNA from 1 species
AUGGUCAGGCAGAGGUACAAGGGUAAAGCUGUGGCAGAUGAUAGCUCGGACACAUCAAGCAGCGACAGCGACGGUGACUUUGCUGACCGGCAUGAGAUGCUCGCUUGCCGGCGUCAGAUUGCCGAGUUACGAGUGAAAACCCUAGAUGGAAAUCAGGUCAAUGACGUUGGAAGACAAGUGCCAGUCAGAAUUGGAGAUGGCGUUGAGAAUGGGAACAAUGCUGGUACGAUCUCUUCUGCCACAAGAAGCUCGAUGAGCAAUAAGCACUGGGAUCCCAUAAGCACUAGUAACGGAGGCAAAGGCUAUAACUUUUGUGUUGUAUACCAUCAAGUAGCAAAAGUUGAUGCUGUUUGGCAAUGCUUGUUGAACAAUGAUUAUUUUAGUCCAUAUUUAGCCUGGCAUCUGAUGUACCAAAAAUGA